AUUGAACGCUGGCGGCAGGCCUAACACAUGCAAGUCGAACGAGUGGCGGACGGGUGAGUAAUGUCUGGGAAACUGCCCGAUGGAGGGGGAUAACUACUGGAAACGGUAGUUACUACCGCAUACCAUCGGAUGUGCCCAGGUGGGAUUAGCUGGUAGGUGGGGUAAUGGCUCACCUGGGCGACGAUCCCUAGCUGGUUGGAGAGGAUGACCAGCAACACUGGAACUGAGACACGGUCAAGAGUCCUACGGGAGGCAGCAGUGGGGAAUAGUGCACAAUGGGCGAAAGCCUGAUGCAGCCAUGCCGCGUGUAGGAAGAAGGCCUUCGGGUUGUAGAGUACUUUCAGCGAGGAGGCGUUACUCGCAGAAGAAGCACCGGCUAACUCCGUGCCAGCAGCCGCGGUAAUUC
rnacentral:rRNA from 1 species